rnacentral:misc_RNA from 1 species
GAUGAAGAACGCAGCGAAAUGCGAUAAGUAAUGUGAAUUGCAGAAUUCAGUGAAUCAUCGAAUCUUUGAACGCACAUUGCGCCCUUUGGUAUUCCAAAGGGCAUGCCUGUUCGAGCGUCAUUUGUACCCUCAAGCUUUGCUUGGUGUUGGGCGUCUUGUCUCCAGUCCGCUGGAGACUCGCCUUAAAGUCAUUGGCAGCCGGCCUACUGGUUUCGGAGCGCAGCACAAGUCGCACUCUUUUCCAGCCAAGGUCAGUGUCCAACAAGCCUUUUUUCAACUUUUGACCUCGGAUCAGGUAGGGAUACCCGCUGAACUUAAGCAUAUCAAUAAGCGGAGGA